GAUGAACGCUGGCGGCGUGCCUAAUACAUGCAAGUCGAGCGAACGGACGAGAAGCUUGCUUCUCUGAUGUUAGCGGCGGACGGGUGAGUAACACGUGGAUAACCUACCUAUAAGACUGGGAUAACUUCGGGAAACCGGAGCUAAUACCGGAUAAUAUUUUGAACCGCAUGGUUCAAAAGUGAAAGACGGUCUUGCUGUCACUUAUAGAUGGAUCCGCGCUGCAUUAGCUAGUUGGUAAGGUAACGGCUUACCAAGGCAACGAUGCAUAGCCGACCUGAGAGGGUGAUCGGCCACACUGGAACUGAGACACGGUCCAGACUCCUACGGGAGGCAGCAGUAGGGAAUCUUCCGCAAUGGGCGAAAGCCUGACGGAGCAACGCCGCGUGAGUGAUGAAGGUCUUCGGAUCGUAAAACUCUGUUAUUAGGGAAGAACAUAUGUGUAAGUAACUGUGCACAUCUUGACGGUACCUAAUCAGAAAGCCACGGCUAACUACGUGCCAGCAGCCGCGGUAAUACGUAGGUGGCAAGCGUUAUCCGGAAUUAUUGGGCGUAAAGCGCGCGUAGGCGGUUUUUUAAGUCUGAUGUGAAAGCCCACGGCUCAACCGUGGAGGGUCAUUGGAAACUGGAAAACUUGAGUGCAGAAGAGGAAAGUGGAAUUCCAUGUGUAGCGGUGAAAUGCGCAGAGAUAUGGAGGAACACCAGUGGCGAAGGCGACUUUCUGGUCUGUAACUGACGCUGAUGUGCGAAAGCGUGGGGAUCAAACAGGAUUAGAUACCCUGGUAGUCCACGCCGUAAACGAUGAGUGCUAAGUGUUAGGGGGUUUCCGCCCCUUAGUGCUGCAGCUAACGCAUUAAGCACUCCGCCUGGGGAGUACGACCGCAAGGUUGAAACUCAAAGGAAUUGACGGGGACCCGCACAAGCGGUGGAGCAUGUGGUCUAAUUCGAAGCAACGCGAAGAACCUUACCAAAUCUUGACAUCCUUUGACAACUCUAGAGAUAGAGCCUUCCCCUUCGGGGGACAAAGUGACAGGUGGUGCAUGGUUGUCGUCAGCUCGUGUCGUGAGGUGUUGGGUUAAGUCCCGCAACGAGCGCAACCCUUAAGCUUAGUUGCCAUCAUUAAGUUGGGCACUCUAAGUUGACUGCCGGUGACAAACCGGAGGAAGGUGGGGAUGACGUCAAAUCAUCAUGCCCCUUAUGAUUUGGGCUACACACGUGCUACAAUGGACAAUACAAAGGGCAGCGAAACCGCGAGGUCAAGCAAAUCCCAUAAAGUUGUUCUCAGUUCGGAUUGUAGUCUGCAACUCGACUACAUGAAGCUGGAAUCGCUAGUAAUCGUAGAUCAGCAUGCUACGGUGAAUACGUUCCCGGGUCU
rnacentral:rRNA from 1 species